GUAGGUGGCAAGCGUUGUCCGGAAUUAUUGGGGCGUAAAGCGCGCGCAGGUGGGUUCUUUAAGUCUGAUGUGAAAGCCCCCGGGCUCAACCGGGGAGGGUCAUUGGAAACUGGGAAACUUGAGUGCAGGAGAGGAAAGUGGAAUUCCACGUGUAGCGGUGAAAUGCGUAGAUAUGUGGAGGAACACCAGUGGCGAAGGCGACUUUCUGGCCUGUAACUGACACUGAGGCGCGAAAGCGUGGGGAGCAAACAGGAUUAGAUACCCUGGUAGUCCACGCCGUAAACGAUGAGUGCUAAGUGUUGGGGGGUUUCCGCCCCUCAGUGCUGCAGCUAACGCAUUAAGCACUCCGCCUGGGGAGUACGGUCGCAAGACUG
rnacentral:rRNA from 1 species